CCUACGUGAGGCAGCAGUGGGGAAUAUUGCACAAUGGGGGAAACCCUGAUGCAGCGACGCCUCGUGAGUGAAGAAGUAAUUCGUUAUGUAAAGCUCUAUCAGCAGGGAAGAAAAUGACGGUACCUGAGGAAGAAGCCACGGCUAACUACGUGCCAGCAGCCGCGGGAAAACGUAGGGGGCAAGCGUUAUCCGGAUUGACUGGGUGUAAAGGGAGCGUAGACGGCAGGGCAAGGCUGGAGUGAAAGGCGGGGGCUCAACCCCCGGACUGCUCUGGAAACUGUACGGCGGGAGUGCAGGAGAGGUAGGUGGAAUUCCUAGUGUAGCGGUGAGAUGCGUAGAUAUUAGGAGGAACACCAGUGGCGAAGGCGGCUUACUGGACUGUAACUGACGUUGAGGCUCGAAAGCGUGGGGAGCAAACAGGAUUAGAUACCCUUGUAGUC
rnacentral:rRNA from 1 species